rnacentral:rRNA from 1 species
CUUGACGACCAUAGAGCAUUGGAACCACCUGAUCCCAUCCCGAACUCAGCAGUGAAACGAUGCAUCGCCGAUGGUAGUAUGGGGUUUCCCCAUGUGAGUAGGUCAUCGUCAAGA